ensembl:lncRNA flocculation protein FLO11-like
AUGGAGGAAUCCUCAACAGCAACACCAACCACAUAUAUCCAGUCCUUAUCUACCCAACCUGACCCGUCAACUGUUGAUGUCACCACUACAAACUCAGCUCAGUCCACCAGUGAUGCUGAGGUCAGCUCUACUGUUUCUACUCAAUCCACUCAGCACGUGAAAGACAGGAUGGGAGAAAGCAGCAACACCAGCACUGUUGUCGACCCAGCUUCAUCACCAGUGGGCAACUCCUCAAUGAGUUCUUCUUCCAUAUCCCAGUCCAACACAGUCCAGCACUCAUACUCAACUUCAGAAGCUCACCCAACACCUGUGACCCAGACUCCAGCAGCCACCAUUACAACCAGCACUGCUUGCAGCAGCAUCAACAGCAGUUCUUUGAAUAAGGAGAAAGACAGAUACUCCUCAGGGCUGCUGAUCUCCUGCGCCCCAGUAGAAGAGACUGCAGCUCCCACCACCCCACCUUCUCCAUCAUCAACACCAUCACCAUCCUCAAGUGCACUACAAAAAUCUCCUCCUCCCACAGCUGUUACUCCAUUGGUAACUGACGACAAUGUCACCACCAUCGACUCCCAGACUGCACCUGUCUCUGUUACUGAAGAUACCACAAGAAGCAACACAAUAGUGGAGCACAUUGUCUCUGAAGACACACCUGAACAGGGGAUGGAGGAAUCCUCAACAGCAACACCAACCACAUAUAUCCAGUCCUUAUCUACCCAACCUGACCCGUCAACUGUUGAUGUCACCACUACAAACUCAGCUCAGUCCACCAGUGAUGCUGAGGUCAGCUCUACUGUUUCUACUCAAUCCACUCAGCACGUGAAAGACAGGAUGGGAGAAAGCAGCAACACCAGCACUGUUGUCGACCCAGCUUCAUCACCAGUGGGCAACUCCUCAAUGAGUUCUUCUUCCAUAUCCCAGUCCAACACAGUCCAGCACUCAUACUCAACUUCAGAAGCUCACCCAACACCUGUGACCCAGACUCCAGCAGCCACCAUUACAACCAGCACUGCUUGCAGCAGCAUCAACAGCAGUUCUUUGAAUAAGGAGAAAGACAGAUACUCCUCAGGUAAGUUGGUCCAAAGCCAAAAGACUUGAGUCCAGUAAGUCUAAGAUUCUACAGGCUAUAGCGUCUCUGUGAUGCUCUCCUCACUCACAGUGAUUCUUUGAGCUAAAUGACAUUUUGAUAUUUGGCACACAAAAUGUUUACCAUCGUAGUUUAGCAUGUUAACAUGCUAAUAUUUGCUAAUUAGCAAAAGUAAAGCUGAGGCUGAUGGGAGGGUCAUUAGCUUUAAUGGUAUUUGGUCAUAAAUCAAAGUAUUGGACAAAUUGAAAUGCUGACCUGAUGACUUAUUUAGCAUCGCACUCCUUUAACAUUGUUGGACUCAUGAUCAACAGAUUAAAAAAAGGGAUCAGAACCAAGAGAUAUAAUUUUUUUGUUAUUCCAUACAUUCUUUUUCCUUGUGAAAACCUGGCACUUACACCAAACGCAAUGCAAAAGGAUAUAGAAAGACCUGAGAGGCAAGUGAGACAAAAAACAUUUAUUAUUUGCUGUCGAGAUGAGUAUUUCAAUAAUUUAUUUUCUAAAAAGCAUUACCUACCUAAGCUUUAAGUAGUGGAGUUUCCCCUUCCCUUUCAUUUUUUACUUUUAGACCUUCCCUUUAUUUGCCAAAAUAAUAAUACAUUUUUUUAAUCAAAUAUCUUGAUUACAUAAUGUGCUUACACAAAAGUACCUUGUGUUUAGAGUGCAUGGAGAAAUUAAAACUCGCCUGGAAGAAAACAUAUAAAAAUAUGUAGUCCUAUUUAGAAAAUAUGGUAGAGGUGCACUACAGCCUCUUGUGGACAAAAUGAGUAUUACAAGACAAAGCACUUAGGCUGAUGGGAAUGUCAUUAGUUUUUCUGUAAAAACUUGAAUGGCAAUCAAUCCAAUCAUUGUCAAGAUAUUUCAGUCCCGACAAAAGGAACGACCAACACUGCCAUCCCUAGAGCCAUGCUUUAAGCAAACGGCAUUAAAAAAUUGGAACUUUCCAUUUUAAUUCCCGUUUAUUUACUACUAAGCUAUCAAUUGAAGAAGUACAAAUCUUGUCGCUACCAAAUACUGCUAACUGCAUACUGUACUGGCUAUUUGUUCACUGAUAAAUUACUAGUACUGUUACAGUUAGCUAGCUAUGUAGUUUGCAUGUGUGUUAUAUUUGUUUGGAUUAAUCUCGUACC